rnacentral:rRNA from 1 species
UAGGGAAUCUUUCACAAUGGACGAAAGUCUGAUGGAGCAACGCCGCGUGAGUGAAGAAGGGUUUCGGCUCGUAAAACUCUGUUGUUAAAGAAGAACAUAUCUGAGAGUAACUGUUCAGGUAUUGACGGUAUUUAACCAGAAAGCCGCGGCUAACUACGUGCCA